CAGGAUAUGGCUGAGAUAGUCAAGCAUCUCCCUUACACCGAGAAGACAUCCAUGCAAGCUGGAUUAUCCUGA
rnacentral:tRNA from 1 species